AUGUAAUGUAAUGCCUACAACGUUAAUGUACAAAUCCCAUUAGAACUAUGUAGUUAAGCACACUUGGGCUAGAGUAGUAUUGGGAUGGGUGACCUCUCGGAAAGUCCUAGUGUUUUACAUG
rfam:Picea glauca, whole genome shotgun sequence.